ensembl:ncRNA Y73B6BL.278 ncRNA
CUUGUUUUUUGCCGCCUUCAUCGGAUGUUUUUUUUUCUGUUUGGAGGGUCGAAUAAGGGGAAGGAAUUUGGAAUGAAAUGAAUACGAUUGAAGAGAGAAGACAUACUUCCGAUGUCUUUGCGUUUCUCU